GGCUGCGCGGGCUCUUUCAGGCUCGUCUGGAAACCUGUGCCCGGGGCCCACCUGCUAAAACAGUUCAGGGAUCUGAGCAUUGGCCAACCCCGGACAGCAGGCUAGAAAGUUGCACUGCUUGCAACAGCUGUGCAAGCCCCUCGUUUGGGUAUCAGCGUUUUUGGGUCCCAAGGGCACCGAUGGAUUGUGCUUGACAGUGCAAAGAGACCCAAGGUCCCAGGAACAGAGCAUCUGCCGGACACACACACACACACCACCCACCUUCUAUCAACCAGACUCUGUUAACAGGAACAGAAGGCUGACCUAAGUGUUUUAGACCACCUACCUCAUCCCCACCCCCGAACCCAUUUCCAACAGGGAUACCAAGCUGAUGCUCAGCAGAUGGAAGGCCGCUGGCAGCUCGCGGAUUGGAGUCACUGAAGGGAGCCCAGGAGGAGUUGCAGCAGAAGACUACAGCAUUUUGGAGAUGACAGUACCACAGGGUGACCACCAAGAACAGCAGGGAAUGAGUGGAGCCAACCAGAGCCUAGAAACAAGCUAGGUGUGCUUCCACAGCAGAGAGCAGAGCCAGAGAAGUAACCCUUUGGAGGAGCCCAGAAGAUGGCAGGUCCUGAGAAGCUGCCUUUGCGGAAAGCCCCCACCCUUGCUGCAGCCACGGGAGACCUAACAGCAGGAAGAAGCCUGGCUGUUUUGAUUCUGUCUUGACUUUGGAUCGGACUUCAGCCCACUACACACAGGCAUGCUAGCCACCCAAAGAAUGCAUCCCACCAAACACCAGAGAGAACACAGAAACCAGGAUCAGUCGUUGGAACACUCCAGGGUGUGUGAUCCGGACAACAUCCAGGCCUGUAGUCCCCUUAGGUUCCAGGGACCAGCCAGUAGUCACAUGGCCUGUGUCUAUUUCAUCACCCAACUGAACAGCCACCUCGCAGGCAGGCAUGUGGGGACACCAGACCUUGAGCAGAGACCCACUUCCCCAUCAGCCUGGGAGUAGGCAGCUGUAAGACAAUGUUUACUAAAAACAUGUUUACUAAAAACAAUACAA